UCUCUCUGCUCCCCGUGAAUCUCUGAGAAGCUUGGUAAUUUCUUCCACCAACAGGCAAUCUCUGCACUUGAGACAAAGGCUCUCCCGCUGAGCCACAUCCUCAGUGGAAGGCUCUGCACUCCGGAGGAGGCUGGAUCACAGCAAAGUCAACCAAGGUUGCCUUUUCCCAGUUGACUGUCCCGCUUGGAACCUGGCCACCAGGCUUUGAGGCAGCCCGGACAGAGUCGUGGGGCAGCCACGUGCACACCCUCUGCUUGACAGCUGCAGGAGAUCCUACCAGCUGUGAGAGGGGACAAGCCUUCCAGGAAGUCUGCCGUGGGGUCACCCUCUUCUGAUUCCUCCGAGCUGGGCUCGGACAGCACAGAGCAGAAGGAGGCCACCUGCCCCUUACACUCUCAACUCCGGGCCCACAGAAGUUGUGAGAACAAAGAACAGCAGGGAAGGUGAUCCCAGUGACCGACCCAGCAUCAUCUGGGGGCCGUGAAGGAGCUCUUGUCUCCCUUUGGAGGAACCUGGGGAAGGGCAGCUGACCCACCCAGUAAGUCUCCUAAGCCCAUUUGGAGUUCAUAGCAACCUGCUUACACAAGGGCCCCUGGACCUCUGGCCUGAUGUUCUGUGUCCGCUCUCUGCAUCGGGGACAGCCAUGCCAGGCUCUUUCCACAGAUUCCGAGGUGGCGAUGAAGCUUGUUCAUUUUCCUGGUGGUUUUCUACGCCAUUUACAAACAGAUCUAACAUCAGAAGAACUCUGGGCUGGCCGUGGAAACUUCACCUAAGUUCACCUUGUUAGAGACUUGGAACCCAGUCUGUGGGGCUCGUGCGCCCUCUGGAGGACAGGUCUUCUCACUUCUCCAGGACUCCCUGGCAUGCGAGGCUGGCCAGCGAGCCCAGGAACGCAGCUGUUUCCUUCCUCCUCCCUAGCUGGACUACAAGCGUGUGCCACCAUGCCUGGCCCCUUUACAUAGAUCCCGGGAACUGAAUGUGGGUCUUUGUGCUUUUAAGCAAGCGCUUUUCUGAAGGAGCCAUCUCCCCCAGCCCCUCUACCCACACCUUUUGCUUUUCACUUUGAGAUUGUCUCAUUCUGUAGCCCAGACUGCUCAUGAUCUUGUGGCAAUCCUCCUGCCUCAGUCUCUGUACAUGGGGAUUAUAGCCCAAGUCACCAUAUAUGGCUCUGGAUUACAGGGUGGAGUGUGUGUGUGUGUGUGUGUGUGUGUGUGUGUGUGUGUGUGUUAUCUUUCCUGAGGCCUUUGGGUAGUGAGCUAACUGUGGCUAUCAGAUGUAUGAGAAUACAAUGGGUCCAGGACAGGAGCCCCCAGGAAUCAUAGACCAUGUCUGGAAUUGCAGGGACCAUAGCUCUAAGAAGCCUGAUAGUCAAGAAAGGAAAAGAAAUUUAGAAAGGUCUUCUGUUACAGGAUGUAUGAUCACACUGUGAACCCCGAGAUUGUGUUAUUUACUGGAAAAACCUGUUUCUAGUUGUGGUGUGGCUCAGCCCUA